AGAGUUUGAUCCUGGCUCAGAACGUACGCUGGCGGCACGCCUAACACAUGCAAGUCGAACGAAGUAGCAAUACUUAGUGGCAGACGGGUGAGUAACAUGUAGGUAUCUGCCCUUUGGCCUGGAAUAACACGAGGAAACUUGUGCUAAUACCGGAUAAGUCUUUACGGAGAAAGCUUUAUGCACCAUUGGAUGAGCCUGCACUUGAUUAGUUUGUUGGUGGGGUAAUGGUCUACCAAGACUGUGAUCAAUAGCUGAUUUGAGAGGAUGAUCAGCCACAUUGGGACUGAGACACGGCCCAAACUCCUACGGGAGGCAGCAGUGGGGAAUCUUGCACAAUGGAGGAAACUCUGAUGCAGCGAUGCCGCGUGAGUGAAGAAGGCCCUUGGGUUGUAAAGCUCUUUCGUCGGGGAAGAAAAUGACUGUACCCGAAUAAGAAGGUCCGGCUAACUUCGUGCCAGCAGCCGCGGUAAUACGAAGGGACCUAGCGUAGUUCGGAAUUACUGGGCUUAAAGAGCUCGUAGGUGGUUAAAAAAGUUGAUGGUGAAAUCCCAAGGCUUAACCUUGGAACUGCUAUUAAAACUUUUUAACUAGAGUGUGAUAGAGGAAAGUGGAAUUUCUAGUGUAGAGGUGAAAUUCGUAGAUAUUAGAAAGAAUACCAAUUGCGAAGGCAGCUUUCUGGAUCAUUACUGACACUGAGGAACGAAAGCAUGGGUAGCGAAGAGGAUUAGAUACCCUCGUAGUCCAUGCCGUAAACGAUGUGUGUUAGACGUUGGAAAUUUAUUUUCAGUGUCGCAGCGAAAGCGAUAAACACACCGCCUGGGGAGUACGACCGCAAGGCUAAAACUCAAAUGAAUUGACGGGGACCCGCACAAGUAGUGGAGCGUGUGGUUUAAUUCGAAGAUACGCGCAGAACCUUACCAACACUUGACAUGUUCGUCGCGACUCUAAGAGAUUAGAGUUUUCGGUUCGGCCGGACGAAACACAGGUGCUGCAUGGCUGUCGUCAGCUCGUGUCGUGAGAUGUUGGGUUAAGUCCCGCAACGAGCGCAACCCUCACUUUUAGUUGCCAUCAUUAAGUUGGGCACUCUGAAAGAACUGCCAGUGAUAAGCUGGAGGAAGGUGGGGAUGACGUCAAGUCCUCAUGGCCCUUACGUGUUGGGCUACACACGUGCUACAAUGGUAUCUACAACAGGAAGCAAGACUGCGAAGUUAAGCAAAUCCCUAAAAGAUACCUCAGUUCGGAUUGCACUCUGCAACUCGAGUGCAUGAAGCUGGAAUUACUAGUAAUCGUGGAUCAGCGUGCCACGGUGAAUGCGUUCCCGGGUCUUGUACACACCGCCCGUCACACCAUGGGAGUUGGUUCUACCUUAAGGCAAGGUUUCAAACCCUUGACCACGGUAUAGUCAGCGACUGGGGUGAAGUCGUAACAAGGUAGCCGUAGGGGAACCUGCGGCUGGAUCACCUCCUU
rnacentral:rRNA from 1 species